GGAAGAUCUUUGAUGGGGAGGCUGGCUGGAGAGUGAAAGUGAGCAAGAGAUGGGGCACUGCAGACCCUCUGGUAGAGAUCGUUUGGUACAGGCCCAGCAUCUCCAGGAGGGCUGUUCCUCUGUCACUGUGGAGCAGGCCCUUCAGAAGAGGGCAUGUGCAGAGCCAGGUCACACACUGCAGAGGUUUCCUUAUCCCUCAGUGUCCGGGAUCCCCAAGGUCAGCCCAGGUUUGAUGAUUCACUGGGAGGACUUGCAGCAAUCAGCGUAGAGUUGAACUUGUGGUCAUCAUUUAUGACAAUAAAGGAAUACAAAGCACAGUCA
rnacentral:lncRNA from 1 species